rnacentral:rRNA from 1 species
UACGAGAGGCGCAAACGUUAUUCGGAAUUACUGGGCUUAAAGAGUUCGUAGGCGGCGCAGAAAGUAGGGUGUGAAAGCCCUCGGCUCAACCGAGGAAUUGCGCUCUAAACUACUGUGUUUGAGGGACCUAGAGGUGAGCGGAACUGAUGGUGGAGCGGUGAAAUGCGUUGAUAUCAUCAGGAACACCGGAGGCGAAGGCGGCUCACUGGGGGUCUUCUGACGCUGAGGAACGAAAGCCAGGGGAGCGAACGGG